CAGGACCAAAAUGAGGAAGCACACUAAGAACUAACAACAUAUCCUCAGACCUUGGGCAAGAGAGAUACUUCCCCAGAAGAAAGUGAUUACCAUGAAAUGCCAUCCAAUGAUUCUUCAAGGGAGACCUAGAGUUUAACCAAAACCAUCUCCUCCAUGAAACAUCAUCCCAAAUUCAACAGAGUGGAACUUGGCAGAC
rnacentral:lncRNA from 13 species